rnacentral:rRNA from 1 species
UGGGGAAUUUUGGACAAUGGGCGAAAGCCUGAUCCAGCAACGCCGCGUGCAGGAUGAAGGCCCUCGGGUUGUAAACUGCUUUUGUACGGAACGAAAAGCUUGGGGCUAAUACCCCCGGGUCAUGACGUUACCGUAAGAACAAGCACCCGCUAACCACGUGCCAGCAGCCGCGGUAAUACGUAGGGUGCAAGCGCUAAUCGGAAUUACUGGGCGUAAAGCGUGCGCAGGCGGUUAUGCAAGACAGAUGUGAAACCCCCGGGCUCAACCUGGGAACUGCAUUUGUGACUGGAGAGCUGGAGUGCGGCAGAGGGGGAUGGAAUUCCGGGUGUAGCGGUGGAAUGCGUAGAUAUGCGGAGGAACACCGAUGGCGAAGGCAGGCCCCUGGACCUACGCUGACGCUCAUGCGCGAAAGCGUGGGGAGCAAACA